rnacentral:rRNA from 1 species
UACGGAAGGCAGCAGUGGGGAAUAUUGCACAAUGGGCGCAAGCCUGAUGCAGCCAUGCCGCGUGUAUGAAGAAGGCCUUCGGGUUGUAAAGUACUUUCAGCGGGGAGGAAGGCGAUGCGGUUAAUAACCGCGUCGAUUGACGUUACCCGCAGAAGAAGCACCGGCUAACUCCGUGCCAGCAGCCGCGGUAAUACGGAGGGUGCAAGCGUUAAUCGGAAUUACUGGGCGUAAAAGCGCACGCAGGCGGUCUGUUAAGUCAGAAUGUGAAAUCCCCGGGCUUAACCUGGGAACUGCAUUUUGAAACUGGCAGGCUUGAGUCUUGUAGAGGGGGUAGAAUUCCAGGUGUAGCGGUGAAAUGCGUAGAGAUCUGGAGGAAUACCGGUGGCGAAGGCGGCCCCUGGGACAAAGACUGACGCUCAGGUGCGAAAGCGUGGGGAGCAAACAGGAUUAUAUACC